UUAAAGGUCCGUUUACAUUUGCAAUUUCUGCUGCGAUUUUCUUCUUCUGAUGGAUGUGAACGAGUGGAUAAGUUAUGAAGUGGAUGAGUUACUCGUUCACAUCCUUCAGAAGAAGAAAAUCGCGCUAAAAAUCGCGUAAAAUGGGCCUAAAGCAGCUGGAAAUAGAAGACAUUCGUCAGAAAUUGAAUACACUCCAUUGAGUAUGUGUUCUCUUUUUGUGAGAUUAAAGUCUUUUUUUCACGAAAAUGCUUACCUGAAGUCAGCUGACUCGCUGGGCUCACAGCUGGUUCAAGGUCGCGGUUGCCCUUGCGCAUGCGCGUG